UACAGAGGGUGCGAGCGUUAAUCGGAAUUACUGGGCGUAAAGCGCGCGUAGGCGGCUUUGCAAGUCGAGUGUGAAAUCCCCAGGCUUAACCCGGGAACUGCAUUCGAGACUGCAUAGCUAGAGUAUGGGAGAGGGAAGUGGAAUUUCAGGUGUAGCGGUGAAAUGCGUAGAUAUCUGAAGGAACAUCAGUGGCGAAAGCGACUUCCUGGACCAAUACUGACGCUCAUGUGCGAAAGCGUGGGGAGCAAACAGG
rnacentral:rRNA from 1 species